UACGUAGGGGCCUAGCGUUGUCCGGAAUUAUUGGGCGUAAAGAGCUCGUAGGCGGUUCGGCAAGUCGGAUGUGAAAUCUCCACGCUUAACGUGGAGGGGCCAUUCGAAACUGCUGUGACUCGAGUCCGGUAGGGGAGUGUGGAAUUCCUGGUGUAGCGGUGAAAUGCGCAGAUAUCAGGAGGAACACCGGUGGCGAAGGCGGGUCUCUGGGCCGAUACUGACGCUGAGGAGCGAAAGCGUGGGGAGCGAACAGG
rnacentral:rRNA from 1 species